GCGGGAGGGUUGCUCUGGAGGUGUUAGUUUUAAAGUCUCUAUCUUUUAAAUUGUAUCCCAUCAGAGUGAGUUCUAGUAAUGACUCAAGUAGGUGUCCAGAACCGUGGCCGACUCUGGAGAUCCCAAAAUGAACCAAUCAAGGUUCCGGCUCCCAAGGCUUUCUUACCUGGGUGUGUGGACUUGAAGAGCGGCAUGAGACCACCAGUGGUUAUUCCUACCUACUCAGUGGCCGGAGCAGUGGGAGCCGCAGACCAGUCUUCGGUGGCCAGCUGGGGGCUCCAGGCCCCAGGAGGGGACGCUGACUAGGUGCAGAGCAUACCUGCCCACCUUCAGACCAGUCUGCCGCUUCAGGUUGAGUACCAGUGAAUUCAGGAGCUGGAGCAGUGCACUCCCCCUGGAAUUCCUCCUUGGCCACAGCCUUUUCAGCGGCAGCCUGCUCUUCCUUUCCAAUCUCAGCAGGAUCUCUGAAGAGGUAGGACUCAUGUGCGACCUUCCAUGGGUGUUCAUGGGAAGUGGUGCCACGCAUGCACAGAACCUCCAGGGCCAGGAUCCACCACACCAGACCCGCUGAGUGAGCCCACCCCCCCAUUGUUGCAAGGGAUGGCAGUGUCCCCAUAGCACAGAGGCAGCCUUUCUGGGAGCUGAGACUGCUGGUGGUUACUGAUCUCAGAAAGGCUGGACUUGAUUAGUGAAGGUUCCAGGAGUGAAGCAGCCAGCAGAUAGGACUGGUUCAGUAGCAGCAGGAAACUUCAGCCCAGCUCACUGUCCAGGAUUCCUGGAUGAUGUGACACUGACCUCAGCCAGGUUUUCAAUGGCAGCAGUGGCACGAGCUGCCAGCAGAAGCUUCUCCCAGGUUCUCUUCAGAUUUAUGAUAUAGAUACCAUCACUUCUGUGGACGUUCUGUUCCAUUUGGAAGUCAAGGUUGGUGCCAUCUAAGUGGAUUGCUGCUGUGAGGAAUUCAAGGACAUCCUCGUCCUUCAUUUGCAGGACAUCAGGGUUCUCCGGACAUUGUGAAGGCUUCCCUUUAAGCUACGAUGGGAACACAGAGCAACGCUGCACGGACCUGUCACUGGGUAGCAUGGAAAAGCCUUCACCAAAUGUUUUCACCCUUGUUUUUCUUUACCUAAAAUAUCUCGGAGGUUUUCCAUAUAGUUACAUAAAACUAUCCUUUUCCUUUUUAUUUAACAGUUGUAUACUAUUCCAUUCUCUGGAUUAAUAUAAUUUAUGUAAUUGGUGGGAUUGUUUCUAAUACUUUCCUUUUACAAGCAAUAUUAUGAUGAGUAAUACUGUAGUUACAUCAUUUCUCAUAUCCUUGAGCAUAUCUGUGGAAUAAACACCUGCA
rnacentral:lncRNA from 1 species